rnacentral:lncRNA from 1 species
CCUCGCUCUGCUUCUCCACCCGCCCUGGGAGCCGUUUUUCCUCAGCCCAGCUCUGUUGAUGCUCAUUCUGGGCCCCGGGGCCCAAACAAAGUAAGCUGCUCAAAGCGGCGGACUAGACCGGUCAGCUUCCUCUCUUGCCCCAGAACACACUUCGUUUUUUCUUAGAGGAAGAGACUUCUGGCUCUCCUGCGUUCUGCUUUCCUAUGGCUGAAGUGACUCCCCGGAGGAGAGCAGAGGUCUGUGGACCGCCCGACAUGUGAAGGAGAGUGCUCCUGCUAUGGACAUGCCAGUGUCUGGCUGUGUUUCCGGUUCCUUGGGAUUUGGCUUGGCCUCUGUCCUCGGGACUAAUGUAACCCUCAUCAACUGAAUCUUACUGAACUCAUCAGCAAGUCAGGGAUUGGAGGAGGCCCUCUGAGCGGCCCUGGGGGAUCACCCAGGGUCCUCUUUGUUGUGGCGCCCUGGGAAGAAAGCCCCACUAGGAGCUUAGUAGCCACAGAGCAGAGUAAGGGGGGGGGGGUUGGUUGUCUGUGCCUCUGUCAGUUGCCACUCAGAGGCGGUCCCCUGUGCACUCUGCAAUGGGCGAAACCAUCAGGUCUGGGAGCUAAGGCUGCAGGCUCCAUAUUGAGGUAGUACAUGAAGCCCACAGCCAACCGUUUCUGUCUUGAUUUGUGAAGCAGUUCCACCCUCCUGCCUUCAUCAUGUUCAGCUGGGACUUGCGAGGACCAACCUUGAGGCCUGGGAGCUUGCCCUCUUCGUCCUGGUCUCUGCUCAACCCUGGUCAAGGCUCUGCCUGGAGUUCCCACUGCUGUUGCUCCUUAAAUGGACUCUCUGGGCGUUGGGGAUGGGGAGGGAAAGCUUGGGUCAACAUUCCAAGUCGAAAUUUGAAGACAGCCGGUUUCACCGGGCACAGGGGACCCUGGGGGCAAAAUCUGUACGUUGAACUCCUAACCCUCAAAUUCUAGAAUGUAGGAAGAGAUGAGCCCUUUUAAGAGUGGUUUAAAAUGAAGCCGGUGUUAUUCGGUGUUGGUGACUAAGCCCCACAGAGGGUUUCUGGAGGCACCUAGUGGAGAACUCCUGAGAGGAGCUGGCCACCUGUAGGCCCAGGAGGCAGGGUCAUACGGGCCCUUUCCAUAGCUGAUUAAGGCUUUGCCUUCACCAAUGCAACCACCCAGGAAUUCAGUGGAGCUUUAGGGGUGAUUCUACUGUAGAGGCCAAUUUGCUUAGGUCUUUUGUAUAUUAUGCUCUAUACCACCUAGGGAUUCUGCUAGCAAGGCCAUCACCUUGACCUUGUACCAGAGCCAUGAGCCAAAAUGAUACAACUUACCCGAGCUGUGGUAUUGUGUUAUUAGCAACAGAAAAUGUACUCAGACAAGUGUUAACAUUCGUAUCCCAGGAUGGGAUCUGGAUACCAGGGGCUCAGAAAAAUGCCUUCCUCAUACUUCUCUGUAAAAUAAAAGACUGGAAAAAGUG